AACGUAGGACGCAAGCGUUAUCCGGAGUUACUGGGCGUAAAGCGCGGGCAGGCGGCUCGAAACGUCUGAUGUGAAAUCUCCUCGCUCAACGGGGAGAGGCCAUUGGAAACGGUCGGGCUGGAGGGCAGUAGAGGUAGGCGGAAUUCCGGGUGGAGUGGUGAAAUGCGUAGAGAUCCGGAGGAACACCAGUGGCGAAGGCGACUACCUGGCCUGUUCUUGACGCUGAGGCGCGAAAGCUAGGGGAGCAAACGGG
rnacentral:rRNA from 1 species